rnacentral:rRNA from 1 species
UACAGAGACUGCAAGCGUUAUUCGGAUUCACUGGGCGUAAAGGGUGCGUAGGUGGUCGGGUAAGUCUGAUGUGAAAUCUCCGAGCUCAACUCGGAAACUGCAUCGGAUACUAUUCGGCUAGAGGGUUGGAGGGGGGACUGGAAUACUUGGUGUAGCAGUGAAAUGCGUAGAUAUCAAGUGGAACACCAGUGGCGAAGGCGAGUCCCUGGACAACUCCUGACACUGAGGCACGAAAGCUAGGGGAGCAAACAGG